UACGGUUGUGCCUGCUGGAAUGUUCCCAC
rnacentral:piRNA from 1 species